UACGGAGGAUUCGAACGUUAUCCGGAUUUAUUGGGUUUAAAGGGUGCGUAGGCGGACUUGUAAGUCAGUGGUGAAAUUCUAUAGCUCAACUAUAUGGACAGCCAUUGAUACUGCAAGACUAGAGUAAUUUUGACGAAGGCGGAAUGAGACAAGUAGCGGUGAAAUGCAUAGAUAUGUCUCAGAACACCGAUUGCGAAGGCAGCUUUCGAAACAUUAACUGACGCUGAGGCACGAAAGUGUGGGUAUCAAACAGG
rnacentral:rRNA from 1 species